UACGUAGGGUGCAAGCGUUAUCCGGAAUUAUUGGGCGUAAAGCGUUCGUAGGCGGUUUGGAAAGUUUGUAGUUAAAUCUGGUCGCUCAACGAUCAACUUGCUAUAAAAACUCUCAAACUAGAGAUUGGCAGAGGCAACUGGAAUUCCGCAUGUAGGGGUAAAAUCCGUUGAUAUGCGGAGGAACACCAAAAGCGAAGGCAGGUUGCUGGGCCAUUUCUGACGCUGAGGAACGAAAGCGUGGGUAGCGAACAGGAUUAGAUACCCCAGUA
rnacentral:rRNA from 1 species